GAUGAAGAACGUAGCGAAAUGCGAUAAGUAGUGUGAAUUGCAGAAUUCAGUGAAUCAUCGAAUCUUUGAACGCACAUUGCGCCCCUCGGUAUUCCGUGGGGCAUGCCUGUUCGAGCGUCAUUUACACCCUCAAGCCUCGCUUGGUAUUGGGCGUUUGUCCUGCCCCCGCGCUGGACUCGCCUCAAAGUCAUUGGCAGCCUGUUUCCGCCCGCUUCGCACAGCACAGCCGUGCAUCGAGCACCCGCGCAACAGGCUCUCCACAAGCUUUCCCCCCAGUUUGACCUCGGAUCAGGUAGGGAUACCCGCUGAACUUAAGCAUAUCAAUAAGCCGGAGGA
rnacentral:misc_RNA from 1 species